UUGCAAACUUGAUCACUAGCUCUGCAUGAAGUUGCAGAAGCAAAGGGAACAGGUUUGCUAAAAUAAACAUGGUCAUAGACCCUGUAUUAGCCUUAGAAAUCUCAUUAUUUGGGCUGUUAACUCUAUGCCGUGACAAGG
ensembl:snoRNA SNORA66 Small nucleolar RNA SNORA66